UGUCCAGCAACUCCUAUCCCUACCUCCACGCGGUACCGGCCGGAAACUAUGAGCAACCUUAGGGAAGAUCGGGUAACCACCCCCGGUGGGAACUUUGGUCGUAGGCUGAUAGGGAAGG
rnacentral:ribozyme from 1 species